AAAUGCGAUAAGUAAUGUGAAUUGCAGAAUUCAGUGAAUCAUCGAAUCUUUGAACGCACAUUGCGCCCGCCAGUAUUCUGGCGGGCAUGCCUGUUCGAGCAUCAUUACAACCCUCAGGCCCCCGGGCCUGGCGUUGGGGAUCGGCGGAAGCCCCCUGCGGGCACAACGCCGUCCCCCAAAUACAGUGGCGGUCCCGCCGCAGCUUCCAUUGCGUAGUAGCUAACACCUCGCAACUGGAGAGCGGCGCGGCCACGCCGUAAAACACCCAACUUCUGAAUGUUGACCUCGAAUCAGGUAGGAAUACCCGCUGAACUUAAGC
rnacentral:misc_RNA from 1 species